ensembl:snoRNA SNORD14 Small nucleolar RNA SNORD14
CUGCUAUGAUGAUGUAUUCCAACAUUCGCAGUUUCCACCAGACCGAGAUAAACUUAAUAUACAGGAAGGUAAAACUUGCUGUAUAUUAAGCCAACUCUCAUUAAUGAUGGUUUAACGUUCCUUCCUUGGAUGUCUGAGCAG